rnacentral:pre_miRNA from 1 species
UUUUUAGUAUAAUUAUGCUCCAUGAAAUAUUUGGGAUAUACUUAUACUAAGU